GGCGGAGGGUGGAGGUUAGAAAUAGGGACGGGCGGGCCGCUCCAGUCGUCGAGCCGCGCGGAGCCAACCUGAGCCACGCUAAACGGUGCCGAGCGAGGCGGCAGGACCCGAAGCACCCAUGCUGCUGACGCUGGCCUGGGGCUCCCUCUUCUUCCCUGGGCUUUUCGCGCUCUGCACCUGGGCGCUGCGCCGCUCGCGGCUGGAAUGGACCGACACCGACUACGUGACGAUCAGCACCAGGUUGGUUUCUUCAGUGCAGGCUGUGCUGGCCACGGGGUCAGGGAUCAUCAUCAUCCGCUCCUGUAGCGACGUGAUCAGAGACAGGCACUGGCUUGCCCGAGAAUAUGUCUGGUUUUUGAUUCCAUACAUGGUCUAUGACUCCUACGCCAUGUACCUCUGUGAGUGGUACCGAACCAGAGACCUUGGACACUCCACCACUAUUCGAAACUUCCUGAGUCAAAACCGCCUCAUGAUCACACACCAUGCAGUCAUUUUGUUUGUCCUUGUGCCUGUCGCACAGAGGCUCCGGGGAAACCUUGGAGACUUCUUUGUUGGCUGUAUCUUCACAGCAGAACUGAGCACUCCCUUUGUGUCACUGGGCAGAAUUCUGAUUCAGCUAAAGCAGCAGCACACUCUCCUGUACAAGGUGAAUGGAAUCUUGACGUUGGCCACCUUCUUCUGCUGUCGGAUCCUUCUUUUUCCGUUCAUGUACUGGUCCUAUGGUGAACACCAGGGACUAAGCCUACUCGAGGUGCCAUUCAAUAUCCCUUUUUACUGCAACGUGGCCAAUGCCUUCCUCAUCGCUCCCCAGCUCUACUGGUUCGCUCUGCUGUGCAAGAAGGCAAUCCGGCUCUUUGGUGCCCGAGCCAAAAAGGAUAGUUAAUUGCUCCCACAAGUCAGGCAAUGAGGGCACCUCAUCACACUAGCUGCCUCCUCAAUGCAGUAUUCCAUGGACCAAACUGUGCCCUGUGUGGCCUCUGGCAUUUGGGGAUUGAUAAGCAGACGGAUUUGAGAUUUUCUAAAAAAUAUUCCUAUUACCUCCUCCUUCUAACCUGCCCUUUUGCAAAAGCACUUUUUUCUUGGUUACACAACUAUUGGAUCUUGUCAGACCUUCAUUGGCAGCAAGGUGGCUUUAAUUACAAGCCUGAGGAUUCUUCCUUGGUUCUUAUCUCAAGAGUUCUGGGAAGUCAACUCAUGGAAUGUGAAGAUUGAUGGACCAGGUUAAUCAGUGCCUGGGCACCCACCUUUCCAACCACUCAGGGUAAUAUCCACAGUACUGGGCCAGCAGAAGCAAGGGAUGACUUGGUUCUUGAAAUAAUGUAUUCUUGCAGUGUUGGCCUGGGAAAAUCAUCGUGGGUGAAUCUCAAUGCGUUCGGAGUGGAAGCCUGAUUUUUGGUCACAAAGUUUACUCUAGGUGGGGGAAAGAACCUGAUUAAGUGCCCCCUUUUGAAUGAGGGUAUGGAUAUGCAGGAGCUCUAGGCCCUCUAGAACUACCAUGUUGUGGCCCAGCUUUUUUUCUGACCUACACAAGUCAGAAGUUGCUGAUCUUCUGCAGCAGGGUCUGGCGCCGCUCCUUGGGGCUAAUGUUCUCAGCAAUGGAUGAUAAGAAGCGCUGUUCAUUUACCUUUUGGAGCAAGGAGCUAACAGAGGGGUUGGUCUUGCUCAGUGUUUCAUAACAGGGUUUGGAUGAAGAUCUUCAGACUGAGGUCCACCUCUUCAACAUCCAGCAUCAGGAAAGGCAGGACAAAUGCCUUCAGCACCUCAUCUGGCUCAAGAAGAGCAGCAACUGGAAUCCCCUGGGGCUUCACAGGACUCAUCAGGCAGCUCAGGAGCUCCAAAAAUUGCUUUUCUUCCUUGGGUGUAGAGAACUUUGUCCAGACAGUUUCUUUGAGGCAGGAUACCAAAAAAGUGGUGGGUGAAUUAGGACCUUGCUCUUCUGUGAACCUAAGGGCAGGGAAGGCAGUGAGAAUCUGUGCUAGGAACCUGUGGGUACCAAGGUUGAUCACAGCCAUGCUGCACAUCUUUUUCACUGUGACUUCUGGGUACAAUAUUACCAGGCGGGCCACAGAGGCAACAGCUUUAGCCAAGCCCUGUUCAGAGGCACUCUGCGUAAGCUGGUUAAAUGUUGUAUUUAGGUCUUCCUGAAAACCUUCCAAAUAAGCCGACAACCUUUCAGAGAGGCCUUUUCGCCCCCAGCAAUGCAGGACACCUGAGAGGACUUUAUUUUUGUCUGGUAGAGAGAGGUCUGCAUAGCAUUCCAGGAUUAAGAUGAUCACCUGUUUGAUCUGAGACUGGGGGAUGACUCUCUCGGUCGUGCUGACUUCCAUUACUGUUUCCAACAGCCUUAAAACUAAGUCUGGCUCUUGGAAGAGAGCCCUGUUGUUUACCAGGCAGGCUACCCACUCAUCUGAGAAGGCCCACUUCUUCUCAGAAGCAAAAAUAUAGCACAUUUCCAUGUGUCGGUCCAUCUUCUGCUCAAUAAUGGCCAUGGCAAUAGAGGCAGUAAUGUCCUCGUCCUUGAACCCUUUUUUGUUCAGUACCCUGCUGGUUUUCCUCAGGAAAUCCUUGACGCACUCUGCCAGCUCAGAGACCACCUGCCUCUCCUCCUUAGACAAGCUAGUGGUAUCCAGGUAGAGCUUCAAAUUCUGGCUGAGGGAAGUCAGACUUUCACAUAGCCGGAAGCUAUCGUAAUUUGUCCCCUGGCUGCUGUUGAGCAUGACCUGUAGCUCUUCUCCCCACUCCUGCAGCAGACUGUGCAUGAACUCAAACCCCACAAAACUGGUUUCGCUGGGGAGUUUGGCCAGUGAGGUCAGGCUAACAUCCCGCUCGGCCUCCCUUAUUUUCUCUGCCAGAGCCUGUUGGUGAUAUGGGUUCUGAGUGUCUGAAUUCCACACAGAAAUCACUGUGGCCAGUUUGUCCAGAUACAUGACUGCAGACACUUCCUGGGGGUCAUCUUCCAUCAGUGCAAACACAGUCAGCAUGUCAGCUAAGUUGGCUAAUGCAUAACACUUCAUCCCAAGGGACAGGAUUCUGUCUUGAAUUUGCUUCAGUCCAUUAAGUAACAUGGCCAAUAGGGGCAUGGUCGGACACACAUCUGGGUCCGACUUAAACCUCUUUGGAGGAUGAGAGAACUCAUCUGAAGAAGGUAAGUACUUAUGGGCCAUUGUCCUAAAUUGGGAGAGGAGGGGGUCCUGCUUAUUGUCCUUGUGUUUCAUCAAUUCCCACCAGACAUCGAGGAAGAAGGACACAUCCCUGGAAGAAGUAUCAAUAGUCAUGUGCUCCAAAAAGUGCUCUAGUUCUGUGCGACAGAUGGUGGUGGGCAGGGCCAUCAGAAGUUGGAUGAAGAGCCCAGAAGCUUCUAAGGACUUGAGCAGCUCAAAAAGGACUGUGUGAUUAAUAGUAGGAAUCAUGUUGCCCACUGAGAAGAACACAUCUUCCUGCCACCGAAUUUCAGUGUCAGAAGGGCUAACAGGACAGGGCUGAAGGACCUUGGCCCAGAUGAUGAUCAGAGCUUUCUUCUUCCAGGCAAAAGGCUGAGAAUGUGCUGAGGCAGAAGAGAUUUCCCUCAAGGCCUCCACAAUGGGUUGUCCAACAUGUUCCCAGUCAGACUUUGUCAUUUCUGCCAAUGCUUUGGGGCGAAAGAGCUGCUCAGCCAGCAAGAAGCCCCCAUGCAGGAUAGUCAUUUCUUCACAGAUAUUCAAGGGUCCUGCACAGAAGGACGAAAAAUAAGAAUGUAAAGUUUUCAAAAUAGUAAGCAGAGCCGAGAGAGGCAGCACUUAUUAGGCUGGCUGUCAUUAUCAAGGUUAGAAGGGAUAAGGACUUUCAGUGACCUUGGUGGAAGAGGAGGAAAAAGGGAUGGUUGUAAAAGCCACUGCAGUCAUUAGGGCUUAGUUGAGGAAUAAAAAAAUGACUUCCAAGCUGCCUACACUGGGAACUGUAAGGAUGAUGGAUACUAUAGCAAAUAAGGAAUAGAGAAUGAGAACAGGUUUAGAGGGAAGACAAGGUCAGACUUGGUUACUUGGAGUCUAACAUGGAACAUAAAGGAAGUCUUCCAGCAAUGGCAAUGCAAGGUUGAAGCUCAAGGUGAGUCUGAAAGGUAUCUGCCCAGAAGGGCUAACAAAAACCAAAGUAAAUGAGAUCCCUCAGGAACAGCAUGAAAAGGAAAAGUUGGACUACUGAGGCCAGACCCUCCCACAAAAGGCAGGCCUACAUAUUUGGGGAGAAGGGUAUAGAUAAGAGACAGCGGUGAACUACAGAGGCCACAAAAUGUGUAUUAUAGGACGUGACAACUUCUCAGUGAUGAUUCAGACUAAGAAGGCCACAAAGCUUCUGGCACAGAAACAGACAAGCCCAACCUUUCCUCUUUUUUUUCUCACAGCCUUGCCAAUAGGUUUCAAACAUUCUCCUCCCUUUUAGAGAAACAGUUCACCCGGGAGCUUUUUCCAGUCAGAGGACAAGUUAUUCAUGGGCCUAAGAACUUCUGUGGCAGAAACUGGUGGGUAGAUAGAAGGGUCAAAUACUAGUUUGGACAUUCAAAUGCGAUGUGGCCUAAGAGUUAACUUCUUUGAUCUUCCCCUGUACAAUAUAGUCUUCAUGAUAUAACUAAAGAUCAAAUGAAAAUGUACAAGUUGAGUCCUGGGCAUUGGGUUGGUGCUAUUUUCUCCUGAUCCCGUCUCUGAAGGAUGGGAGAAGGUAUGGGUUAAAUAAAAUACAGUAAAAAUCAGGCUAUUGGGAGCCUGAAUAACA